GCACCGGUGGGUGUCCGACGUCCCCGGUGGCGAUGGAGGAGGGGCUCCGGCCUCUGGGUUCGCCCCCCCGGGGCCGUUGCUGCCUUGGCAGCUCUUUGGAACCAAGGAUCCUGUCCCAAGCAAUGUGGAAGCACAAGCAUCAUCUCUUACCUGUAUAGGGAUCAACCCCACCCACUGGAGCUACUGCAUUUGAUGCUGAACCAGGAACAUAGCGACCAGCACCUGAACGGAGACAUUAGGCUUUUUAAACACCACCACUGGUAAAGAGAUCUAUCUGUGCCUUGCCCUCAGUCGUUUGAGGACAUUAAAGUGUGGAGGAGCUACAACACUGAAAUCUGCCUGAAGCACACAGUGAGGUGGACUGAAAACUGUCUGAACAGCCAGACCCAGAGGGUGGUGAUCAGUGGCACACCACCUAGUUGGAGGCCAGCUGCUGGUGGUGUACGCCAGGGGUCAGUACUGCGUCCACUCCUGUUCAACAUCUUCAUCAACAAUCUGGAAGACUGGCCAGAGCACAACCUCAGCGAGUUUGCUGAUAACAUGGAACUGAGACGAGUGACUGAUGUCAUCAUUUAAGUUUAUAAU